UUACGGUCAAAUCACGCUGAAAACACCGGUUCUCGUUCGAUCACCGAAGUUAAGCAUCGUAGAGCCAGGUCAGUACUUAGAUGGGGGACCGCUUGUGAACACAUGGUACU